rnacentral:rRNA from 1 species
UACGUAGGGCGCAAGCGUUGUCCGGAAUUAUUGGGCGUAAAGAGCUCGUAGGCGGUUUGUCGCGUCUGCUGUGAAAGCCCGGGGCUCAACCCCGGGUCUGCAGUGGGUACGGGCAGACUAGAGUGCAGUAGGGGAGACUGGAAUUCCUGGUGUAGCGGUGAAAUGCGCAGAUAUCAGGAGGAACACCGAUGGCGAAAGCAGGUCUCUGGGCUGUAACUGACGCUGAGGAGCGAAAGCAUGGGGAGCGAACAGG